rnacentral:rRNA from 1 species
UACGUAGGGUCCGAGCGUUGUCCGGAAUUAUUGGGCGUAAAGAGCUCGUAGGCGGUUUGUCGCGUCUGCUGUGAAAUCCCGAGGCUCAACCUCGGGCCUGCAGUGGGUACGGGCAGACUGGAGUGCGGUAGGGGAGAAUGGAAUUCCUGGUGUAGCGGUGAAAUGCGCAGAUAUCAGGAAGAACACCAGCGGCGAAGGCGGCGCUCUGGGCCGGAACUGACGCUGAGGAGCGAAAGCGUGGGUAGCAAACAGG